UCCCUCUUAGCUUAGUGGUAGAGCGUGUCACUCGUAUUUAGCAACGAUGACAAGGUCAGUCGUUCAAUCCGGCUAGUGGGAA